rnacentral:misc_RNA from 1 species
CCUCUUUUCUAGAGAAAUAUCUCUAAAUAUUAAAAUGAUCGGCUCUUGAAAUUUAUAUUUCUUAGAUCUUCGGUUGGCUCUUUUGAUUUCACAAUACUUUGUCUCUUUUUUUUGCUACAUAGUCUCGUAGCUCAGGUGGUUAGAGCGCAACACUGAUAAUGUUGAGGUCGGCAGUUCGAGUCUGCCCGGGACUACGAGAUACUUAAAGUUGAAUAGAUUCUUAUGGGUUUAUUUAGCUGUAGGAAAAAAGAGGGGGAUUAGCUCAGCUGGCUAGAGCGCCUGCCUUGCACGCAGGAGGUCAUCGGUUCGACUCCGAUAUUCUCCACAACCCCAGUUUAUACUGGGACAAAGUUCUUUGACAUAUUGGAGCAACAUAGAAUAAUCAUCAAGUUGAUGAAAAAUUAAAUAAGGGCACACGGUGGAUGCCUUGGGAUCUAAAGGCGAUGAAGGACGUGGUAAGCUGCGAUAAGCUUCGGGGAGCUGC